UACGGAGGAUGCGAGCGUUAUCCGGAUUUAUUAGGUCUAAAGGGUGCGUAGGCGGAUAAUUAAGUCAGUGGUGAAAUCCUGCAGCUUAACUGUAGAACUGCCAUUGAUACUGGUUGUCUUGAGUUUAGUUGAGGUAAGCGGAAUGUGUAGUGUAGCGGUGAAAUGCUUAGAUAUUACACAGAACACCGAUUGCGAAGGCAGCUUACUAAGCUACAACUGACGCUGAGGCACGAAAGCGUGGGGAGCGAACAGGAUUAGAUACCCUGGUAGUCCACGCCGUAAACGAUGAUCACUCGUUGUAUGUCAAAUUAAUGGCAUGUGACUGAGCGAAAGCAUUAAGUGAUCCACCUGGGGAGUACGUCGGCAACGAUGAAACUCAAAGGAAUUGACGGGGGCCCGCACAAGCGGAGGAACAUGUGGUUUAAUUCGAUGAUACGCGAGGAACCUUACCUGGGCUUAAAUGUAGAACGACUUUUGCCGAAAGGCAUUUUCCCUUCGGGGCGAUCUACAAGGUGCUGCAUGGUUGUCGUCAGCUCGUGCCGUGAGGUGUCGGGUUAAGUCCCAUAACGAGCGCAACCCUCAUCGUUAGUUACCAGCGGAUAAUGCCGGGGACUCUAGCGAGACUGCCACCGUAAGGUGAGAGGAAGGUGGGGAUGACGUCAAAUCAGCACGGCCCUUAUGUCCAGGGCUACACACGUGUUACAAUGGUCAGUACAAAGGGAAGCUACCUGGUGACAGGAUGCAAAUCUCUAAAACUGGUCUCAGUUCGGAUCGGAGUCUGCAACUCGACUCCGUGAAGUUGGAUUCGCUAGUAAUCGCGCAUCAGCAACGGCGCGGUGAAUACGUUCCCGGGCCU
rnacentral:rRNA from 1 species